UGGUUGAGUAACAAAGAGGGCGCCACUGCGAAAGCAGAUGACAUUUUGCUUGGAUGUCAAGAGAAAGUUGUAAAGGAAAUUAGGCGACAGUGGUCUAUGUUAUACUUUGACAGAUACUUCGAAAGAAAUCGUCUUACGGUUUUGGAGAGACCAAGCGGAGUGUUACAGUCGAUGGGAAGAUCACUGUCAUAUCUUAAAAGUUGACGUGUUUAUUUCUCUCGGUUGCAUUUCCUCGUUUGGGCCACUGCGACAGCAGCUGUGCAGAUCAUGUGAGCGCUCUGGACGUCGGCGCGUGGUUGGAUCGAUUUUCAUUCAAAGGAAUAUCCCUUCUACCGUUGAGAUGUUGCGCCUCUUCAAGAGAAUAUAGUAGCAUCUCCGGUUGUGUGUGCAUUGUUUGAGGAAUCUUUGGCGCAGAGGAAAGCUUAGAGCCAUGUGACCGUUUUGGCGGUGCCAAGAUUUUGGAAUUCUUUUGUGAUUGUGGAUUGUUUGUAUAUUGUUGGAGUUGUGUUGAUGAAAUUUGAGAAAGGGGCUACGGACCAACUCGCACAAUGAAUUCAAAGGUCACAAAGACAGUUUGUUACUCCUUGUUUAGGAUUCUGUUACCAUUAACCCUUUUAGGAGCUGCGGUGCUGCGUUACAACGCCCUGUCGUUCCUGUACGCUGUGUUCCUGCUGAUCACACCUCUACUCAGCUAUCCCAGUGUCAGCUCUAUCAAAGGUGCUACAGGAAAUUACCUGAAAGUUCUCAUCGCUCUUGGAGUGAUUGCCGUUCUUACACAAUGUAUCUUCCAUAUUGUGUUGGUCGCCAUAGCAACAGAUGCCGAGCCGUAUGGUUCCAUGUUUCCAAACUGCUCUAUGAAUGAGAAGCUUGCCCGACUCAUAGCAGUUGAAAGAUUGGAUAACACGCCUGUUGUUGAUGUUGUUCGGCUGGUGGUACCAGACGUUGCGGUGUUCAUCGUAGCACUCCUAGUCUUCAUCAUCUGCCAUGUUGUUCUCAAGAAAGAGGCAGCACAGCAACAGGACCUUCCCACAACUCAAGUGAUUAGGACUCGCAGACCCAGAGUGAACUUCGUCAUCGCCUUCUUCGGAGAGUUCUUGCUGAGUUUGUUAAUCGGUGCUAGCGGGAUUAUCCUGCCGUCUGUGUUGAAUGCAGUCUACUUCUUGACCUUCCUGGUUGUGGGCACGGUGUGGGCGUGUUACCGCAAGCUGGGACGCAAGUUUGCGGGAUUCCGUGUCUUCCUCCUUGUGUACACUGGACUCCACAUCCUUCUCCUUCAUCUCUACCAGUUCGAGUUCUUUCAGGACUUUUUACCUCCCGAUGACCUCAUUGCAAGACUUCUUGGCCUGACUGGUAUAAUCUACACCGACUGCUCUACUGCAUGGAUGAUCCAAUUCUACGACAACGUCAAGUGGCCGUACUAUGUCAACCCGGGAAUCCUCCUGCUUUUGUACUGGGUUCUCGCCUUCGAGACACGACACUACUUCCAUGGAACGGACGUUAAACACAUUGAGAGUACAUUGUCCCCUAGCCGUGGGAAGAAAGGACGUGGCAAGAGACGAACUGGCACCGAGCGGGAGGUAGCUGGCGAACAGGAUGAGACUGGCAGUGUUAUGUUUUCGGGGUCGGCUUAUGGUGAACCAGACGACCUUGAUGAAAAGCUUCUAGUUGACGAUGCAGAAAAUACUGGCUACAGCACUAUCGAACCCAUCAAUGCUGAUGGAACACCCAAGGCAUCCACGUCCCGAGAGGACGAGGAGACGGAUGAAGAGACCGUGGCAGAUCCUCCGAGGAAGGAGAAGGAGCAGAAGAGGACGGCCAUGGUGUCCAUGUUUGUCUACAUCAUGAAGCAGAGCUACGUCCUUACUCUCAUUGCCAUGAUGGCCUGGAGCAUCACCUUCCACAGUUGGCUGACGUUCGUACUCCUCCUGCUUGCAUGCAUCCUGUGGAUGAUCCCCAAGUCCCGCCGUGCCUGCCUCGUCAUGUCACCAGUCAUUGUGUUCUACGCUGAGGCCCUCCUCAUCAUCCAGUUCAUCUACGGCAUGAACCUGCCUAAUGAGCUGCCUACAGAUGCAGGCCCCGUCACGUACAGCGAGAUCGGUCUCAAGAGAUACGAGAUCCCAUGCUUGUAUCUGGCCGCACAGGUGCUCUUCACAUUGUUCUUCUGGCUGACUCUGCGACAGUUCAUGAGGGAGAGACAGACAACUCCGGAACAGAACCAAGGGCUGCCUCUAGAACCGGUCGAUGGAUCAGCAACCAAGAAGAAGUCCUUCACAGACUUCCUGAAUCUUCCUCUAGAGACGGACAUGGUCGAUGGAUAUGAUAGCAAUUCCACCAAGAUGAUAGGUAACUACCUGAAGGUCCUACUGUGCAAGUACUGGGUCUUCGCGUGCGCUACCAUCAUGUUGGUCAUCGCCAUCCAGGACGUGGUCGUCUACCGCAUCAUCUAUAUGUUCCUGUUCCUGCUCUUUGUCAUCGCCUUCCAGCUGUCGUUCACGGUGUGGCGAGGGGUGAUGUACAUUUUCUGGUGGGUGGUGACAGUCUACUCCAUGGGUGUCCUCAUCAUCAUCUACACCUACCAGUUCAAGCAGUUCCCUGGCUACUGGAGUAACAGCACUGGACUGUCCGAUCAGACGUUGAAGGACAUUGGUUUGGAGCUGUAUGACACGGCUGGUCUGUUCAUCAAACUGCUGACACCAACCAGCUUUCUGAUCGUCGUCAUCCUCCAGGUUCAUUACUUCCACAGUCCCUUCCUCAGGAUGUCCGCCCUGGACAGAUACAAGCAUGAGGACCAGACAGACUCGACGCCAGCAGACUACACGACCGAUGAGGCAGGUGGCACCACAGACACGGAGUCCGAAAUCAGCAGGAAGUCCAGACGUUGGCGCCGACGGUUAACACUACUGUUCUUCAGGCUGUGGAAUAAGGCCAGCAGUUUGUGGGGCUCUGUCUCGACUUUCCUCUGGAGGCUCACAGAGAUACACAUCUUUAAGCUCGUCGUUUUUGUCAUAGUGGUCGUUGCUGUCAAUGAGGUGUCUGCAAUCACUGCGGUGUACAUCAUCCUGAUGGCAGCCAUCUUGCCCAUCUCUCGGAUCCACAUCGUGCUGUCGCAUGUCACCAUGAUCUGGACCGCUCUGGUCAUCCUGGCUAAGAUGAUGUACCAGUUACAUAUUGUCAAGACGGAGUUUUGGAUCACGAGCUGCACUUUGGAUGGAAAUGGCACUUUUAUCCCAGAUAACGGCGUAGACUUUGGCAACCAAAGCAUCGUCGUCAACAUCACUGGGAACGUCACUGAUGUGGACAAUGCUAUAUGGGUGGGGUUGGCCAAGAUUAGCAGCCUGAAUGUGUCCAUCGCCUACUACAUCAGGAACUACUUGCUGAUCCUGAUCGUGGUUGCGUUCGAGAGCAUCACCCGCUACCACCAGAUCCAGCACUACAAUAAGCCCAACGUGGACCGCCCGGGAGCUGGUAUCAUCUUCCAGGACGUCAAGCGACCAGAGGCGGACAAGAGCAUCUCCUCCGCUCUCAAAUACUUCGCCAAUUACCUCUUCUACAAGUUCGGGUUGGAAAUCUGUUACAUCAUGUCCGCCAUCACCAUCUGCAUCCGUGUAGAUGCCUAUGCCGUCAUCUAUGCCAUCAUGAUGGGCAUACUAUUGUUCAUGAGUCGACGUAGCAACGCACGUAUCUGGCCGCUCUAUGUCAUUGUUCUGACAAUACUACUUCCUGUACAGUUCAUGUCGUGUGUUGGAUUCCCGUUCGGGCUCUGCAUCAAUUACCCCUGGCACCAGACCUCUCACCUGUCCUCUAACCUGGAGCAGUGGCUGUUCCUGCCUGACUAUGUCAAGCCCCCACAUGCCCUCAAACUUGUUGCGGACUUCUUUCAACUUCUGUUCGUGUGUCUUCAAUGGCGUGUGUUCAGCGUGGAGCGUGGGCCUAACAGCGAGGCUUAUGGAGGGGGAGACAACCAGUCUAUACUUCCGGAAGUGGAGGCCAACAUGGAAAUCCCUGUCCCUGACUUCACCACUUCGUCAAAAUCUUACCUGGAUGUUGUCAAGUAUGCUGUGUUUGAGUACUUGUUCUGGGUGACCUUGGCCAUCGUUUUCAUCACCGGUACGGCUCGUAUCAACCUGUUCAGUAUGGGAUACGUCAUUGGGGUAUUCUGCUUCAUGUGGUAUGGCCAGGACUUGCUCAUCAAACCCCUGAGGAAGCUGCUGAAAAUGUGGAAUUUCCUAGUUGGUUACACAUUCUUUGUGCUAUUCUGCAAAGCCUGCCUACAGCUGGUUGGGUGUGUGUACAUUGACCGCCUGUUUGUCAAUGAGUGCUGGCUGAUACAACUACUUGGCAUCAACUGCCUCUCCUCCACCAUCGACAUGCCUUCCUCGGGGACCUGCACAAUCGAGGAGGACAACACCGGCCUCACCUGGGACGUCAUCUGCUUCGUCUUCCUCCUGCUGCAGCGUCGCAUCUACAGCAGCCACUACUUCAGACACGUUGUGUCAGAGCUGGAGGCACAGAACAGGCUGGCGUCCAGAGGUGCAGAGCUCAUAAACAGAAUCAAUAUCCGAGAGGUGGCUCUCCAGAAUGCCCAGGAAGCUGAAAUCCUCCAGAACAUCAAGAAGAAGAUGAAGAACCUGCAGACCAAGCAGGCCAAGCUCAAGAAGAACUUCCGAGAACCACAGGACCACUUUGAUGAAAAUAAUUCCAAUAUUUCACAUGAUGAAGCUAUACGGUCAGGUGACUACUACCUUUUUGAUGACGACUCGGAGGAUGAGGCGCCAGAUCAGGCGGACACCCUCACCUUCGGACAGGACACAGAUGACACUGGCGCCAAGAUGGGACCAUUGCAGAUGAUCUCCACAGCCAUGGACUCAGGCACUGAUGCUGCUGUAGAGAAAGCCAAGGAAAUGGAGGAAUCCCAAGAGGGUGGAAGUGCGGCGACAAGCCCCAAAACAGGUCCUAAGGCUGGCCCUAGCAGUGGAGCAGAUGUCGACCCUGAGGAGAGCGAGGAGGGGGCUCCAGAAAAAGCAUUUGGAAAGGCCAAGCGUCUGACUAUGUUCAUCCUGGCAUUCCUGGGCAGCAUUGCUGAUUGGCUGAUCCGUUUGUUCAACAAGAUUUCCAAGAACUACCGCCGUGUUGCUAGGCAACUAGAGAAGGAGAUGAUUCUGGAGAGGGAGAAGAUCCAAGCGGAGAAGAAGGAGCUGAUAAUGAAGGAGAAACGACCCAGCAGCAGCAAGGACUCGGACGUGGAAGAUGGUGGCGGCGGGGCCGAUGCUGGCGCGACAAGUGACACAGACCUGGUUGUCGUCAGAGUGACCACAGCAGACUCUGGCCGACCAGACACUAUGGGAAGUUCUAUCAGCCUGGUGGACUGGGAGGAGAGAGAGAAGGAGGAGGAGGAAUUUGAGAAGAGUCAGCCACGUCUGUACCGCCUGCUGGUCGCCACAUACUACGUGCUGGUAGCCCGGUCGGAGCUGCUGUGUUACUUCCUGAUGAUCCUGAACCAGAUGAUCUACGCCUCGCUGCUGGCCCUGCCCCUCCCACUCAUGGUGUUCCUCUGGGGAAUGUUGUCUGUGCCACGCCCAUCCAAGUCCUUCUGGAUCACUGUUAUUACCUACGUUGAGGCUGUGGUGGUGGUGAAGUACCUGUUCCAGUUCAGCUUCUUCCCAUGGAAUGAUGGCACAGUUCGCGAGAGUCCAUUCUGGCCGCCACGUAUCCUGGGUAUCGAGAAACAGUCCAACUACGCUGCAGCAGACCUUGCCCUUCUCCUGGCCCUCUUCAUACACCGGUCACUUCUUAAGAGAUAUGGACUAUGGAGAGACACUGAUGACAUCUCCGCUGACUUGGCCAAGGCUGGAGAGAAGGAACUGUCUCCCCCCUGCUCACCAGCUCCAGAGGGUGACAACACUACCCAUGCCAUUGAGGCUGUGGAGCUGGGAGAGUCAGGAGCUGCAUCUGAUGGCCAGCUGCAGUCUUCAUCAGAAGACGAGAUCAAGAAGAAGCCCAGCAAGAUCAAAAUUGGGUUAAAGAAGUGUGUCGACCCAUUCAGGAACUUCUUCAAUCAGGUGACUGGAGCAACAUACAACGCCACUGUCGACGUCUACGCCCCCAUGUUCUGCUGCGACUUCAUCACAUUCAUCAUUGUCGUGUUCGGAUACUGGGCCUUUGGGCCUGCUCAAACAUCCAGUGGUGACGUGACAAGCUACAUAUCUGAAAACAGAGUGCCUGUUCCCUUCCUGGUGAUGUUGGUCUGCCAGUUUGCUCUCAUCAUCAUCGACCGUGCUCUGUUCCUGAGGAAGAACGUCCUGGGCAAGUUCAUUUUCCAGAUCAUCCUGGUGAUCCUUAUCCACAUCUGGAUGUUCUUCGUGCUACCGGCUGUCACUGAUAGGAGUUUCAACAAUAACAUCCCAGCUCUGCUGUGGUACUUUAUCAAGUGUAUCUACUUCGGGUUGUCUGCGUACCAGAUCCGAUGUGGCUACCCCACCAGAAUCCUUGGCAACUUCCUCACCAAGAAGUACAACUACCUCAACCUGUUCCUCUUCAAGGGUUUCCUGGCCAUUCCGUUCCUGCUGGAGCUGAGGGCCCUGAUGGACUGGAUCUGGACCGACACCACGCUGGCCAUCGGCUCCUGGCUGCAGAUGGAGGACAUCUACGCCAACAUCUUCGUCCUCAAGUGCUGGAGGAGAGCAGAGGCGACAUACCCGACCCCACGUGCCCAGAAGCGCAAGGCCCUCAUCAAGUAUGGGGUGGGCGGUCUGCUACUGCUGGUGAUCAUCUUCAUCAUCUGGUUCCCACUCGUACUCUUCUCCUUCGCUAACACUGUGUUCGAGCAGAACCCACCCUUCGAGUCCACCGUCACCAUCACACUUGGAGGAUACCAGCCCAUCUUCAAGAUGACCGCCCAACAACAGAACAUUGAACAGCUGACGCCCACCCAGUUUAACAUCCUGCAGAGUCGCUACAGCAAGGACAGGAAUGCCAUGGGCUUCCUGUCCAACUAUGAGGCCAUUGACGUGACCAAGGUGACACUGGCGGGCAAGUCAACAUCCUUGUGGGGUAUCAGCCCCCCCAGUCAGGCGGACCUCGUCACAUCUCUGCAGAACAAUAAGAACUUGAAGCUGGAGUUCUUCAUCAGCUUUGUCAGGGAGCCAACUGGAAGCCAGUCUGGCAGCAUCAGCAACGACUUCACCAUGUCCCUGGACGAUUCAGUCAGGAAGCAGCUAAUAGGUAUUAUCAACGGAACAUCCAAUUCUACAGUGGACAUAUUUAAUGUUUUCCCGAGAUUUAUGCGGCUUGCAUUGGAGGGACGACCAACAGGCAUCAAACCACUGCUAUAUGGUGAAUUUGGUGUCGGACUGAGCAACGUAUCGCUGGGUUUGUUCCGCGACUCUGAUGCCGGGGCGUUGUCCGAGUUCAUCCAAUGGUGGGAGCUUCAGGAGGUUAUUAAGGGGGAUGAAAUACUAGAAUACGAUCCCAAGAAAACUAAGAAAGUGAAUGAACUCACCAUUUUCACCUUCAAUGACAGAAAAGCACCAGCAGGGUUCUCAGUUAUCACUGGAUAUGGCAUCAUUGGUCUGUAUGUGUCGUUGGUGUUAGUCAUUGGCCGCUUUUUUAGAGUGACAUUUUUCACGGGGUCGUCGUACCGCAUCAUGUUCGAGGAGCUUCCGAAUGUGGACAAUGUCCUCCAUCUAUGUCUGGACAUUUACAUGGUGAGGGAGAGUCGCGACUAUCUCCUCGAGGAGGAUCUCUUCUCCAAGCUUCUCUUCUUGUACCGCUCCCCAGAGACGCUCAUUAAGUGGACGAAGCGGAAGAAGAUCAAGGAGGAUUAAGGGCUGUGUAAUAAAUGUGUGUUGUCUCUACACUUGUUGAAUAGUCCAAUGAAAGAUUUCCAAACGUUAACUAGUUUUCAAGAUACAUUUGUUUUUAUAGAUGAAAUUUGAAGUUGUGUUUUAAAGUUGUUAAAAAUAAUGUGGAAUUUAUAGGGAUUCAGUCCUUGAAAAUAUAAGGGAUGAAGUAAUAUGAGGUAGCCUCAAAGUUAAUGUUUACUGCUUACACAAAACCAGAAAAGAAUGGUUCCCUGUUUACAUAAUCUUGAUUAUGAAGGUAAAUACUUGACAAUUAUUAUGAAUAUGAUAUAAGUUAUUUGAUUGUUAAUUGUGAACAGUCGCUAAAAUGAUUAUACAUAAUCCUGAUUAUGAAGGUAAAUACUUGACACUUAUUAUGAAUAUGAUAUAAGUUAUUUGAUUGUUAAUUGUGAACAGUCGCUAAAAUGAUUAUACAAGAAUGAUUUCUAAGUAGUUGGUGACAUUUGUGUAGGGAUGCACAUGAUCUCAAAAUGGUGCUUGAGUGUAUUCUGUUGCCGCAGGUCAUGGAGAAGUGUAAACUAAUGUUUAUGGAGCCUUGACUGGAACACAAGUAAAAGGUUACAAGUCAGUUCGUUUAUAUAAACACUGACACAAGAUGUAUAAAACAUUUUAAAAUAUUGUACAUUUUGAGACAAAAAUGAUGCAAUUACUGACCUUGGUAAAGUUAACAAGCUGUCUGUUCCAAUCUCAUUACAAUCUGAUCUUUCUCUUUGAUACAUUAUCUCUCUGCAUGAAGAUCUGAGGACACCUACAAAAGAGUUUGAGUCAGGUGAACCCUGAGUGGACUUUGUCAAUUUAAAUAAGGAUGCAUGGCUUCUUGAUCCAGGUUUACCACCUCAAUUCCGAAAUUUUGUUCUAAGCAAAAGAAACAGUACACAAAUAUACCCUUUCUACUACUAUCUUUCAGGUGUAGAUGAUCAGAAAUGACAGUAUCCACAACACUAUGCCAGGACAGCUUUAUUUUUUUGCAUUUGGAACUCCAUGAUUGUAGUCAUUUUCAGGUUACAGAAAUGAGAUAUGCUUGUCUAAUUUGUUGCUGACUGAUACCGAGAAUUUAGAAGCGGUGAUGCUGAUUGGGUGAUUAGAAAGUUCACCUGAUUAGACAUCCUAAGGAGGUGUCGUCAUAUCUUCCUGCAGACAUGUAUCAUAUUGGAGUAAAAGAUCUGGUUUAAUGAGAUUAUAAACUGAGGGUAGUGAUGUUGUAUGCAUGCAUUUAUCACACAGUUUCAGCGGUAUAUAUCAUUCUCAUUUCAUUAUUCUAGUCACAUAAUCAUCAUCAUCGUCUUUUGCAUCCUGCACAUAUUGUGGAGUUUUUGUCAGUGCUGAAACUGUUAUACAAUGUGAUUAUCGUCUACACUUCUCUCAGGGCUCAACUAUAUUACCCAUAUUUUCACAGAGGGGAGACAACUAUGUAUGUCUUAAAUAUCUUUGCUUCCUUUUAAAACUUUGUCAGAGACCAUAUACCGGUAUAUGGUCUCUGUGUUUGUUUAUUAAAAUUGUCGAUUAGAGUUCAGAUGUCUUAAUUUGGCUAAAUAAAUCCUCAAUACUUUAUCUUGCUAUGCACAAAUAGUGAAUGUGACGUGUUAAUAUGUCGUAUGUUAUUUUCCAUAUUUUUUAUUGGGAGGUAACUGAACUAAUGUUGAUGUGGAACUUCUGUAUAUACAAUGAAUUAAAAAUUCUGUUGUAUGUAUCAGUAAUUAGGGCUGUUUGAUGUUAGAAAUGUGUUUCCAUGGUGACGUGUACUAUACAUUGAGUUGAAAACAGUAUUUCGUGGCAAUUUAUAUUCUGUGUUGAGUUGCGUAUCGUUACAUUGUGUUACCUAUAUAAAUGUGUACCCCUGUGUUACAAGGAUUUAUUAAUGCUAGUGCUAAAUAUUUAUUCCACCCCAAGUGCUUCAUAUAAUAUAAACAUAAACACAAAGUGCAAAACUGACUUGUUCAACACAGGGUGAACACAGGAUAUAAUAUCCACCUGACGAUAUCUUGAAUAUCUAUCCCUGUGAAUGAAUGCAGUAGCGAUACAACAGUAAGCAAUAUAGAACCCCUUGAUUAUUUCAUACCUUUACCAAUGCACAGGGAAACAAUACCAGCUGUCUACUUUAAUAUAUACAAUAUACAGCAAACUAGACAUAAUGUAGUACUCACGACACCUAAGCAUUUUGUAACAUCAGGUAAGUUAUCCAUCAUAUCAUAUUAUAUUAAUUAUUAUCACCUCAGGGUAUUGAGAUCAAUGUUUACAUGCUUUGUUUUGAAAAUAAAUAGUAAUUAUGAAAGCUAAUGUGAGUGCUUAUCACAUGCUGUUCUGAAUAAAUACCCAGAAUGCAUCUGAUUAUGAAAGCUUGUUAGGUUGGUGAAUCGGUGUAAAGGAUUUUGUCACUUGUAGUUGUAUAAAUAUUUAAAAUCACCUUUGUAGAGAAGCAUGAUGCAAAUGGCUUAGGUUGUGAUAGCAAUGCUGCUGUUUUGUAAUAUUGGGGACAAAUGCCUUAUUUUCUAAACUAAGUGCUUUACUAUCUUUUACUUAUAUUGCGUGGUAGAAGGGUUAAUCAGACAGAGGCCACUGUUGAAUGUCAUGUUAAUAGUUCAUGUAUUGUCUUUAAUUCUAAACAUGAUCAAAACCAUAGUGUUGUAACAUAUAAUUUAGGGCAAAAUGAUCAAAAUUAUUUCUUUGAUUUAUAAAAGUAUUUAUUCUUCCAGGAAUGUGUAGGCUAGGGCCAGUAUGUGCAUAGCUUGUUUUGUAAAAAAUUUGGGCAUAUUUUAACCAUUGAGUGCUUCCACACUGCCCGCCACGAUGAUGUUGUGAACAGUACGUGUAGGUAGAUUGUUAAUGUUGACAGUUUCUAUAAUGAAAUCCUGAAUUAUGAGAAUAUUCUUAAGAUUUGCUGGUUCUUGAUGAAUACAUGCCUAUGUAUAAUGUUAAUUAUGGUCCUUUCACUACUGGUGCCAUGUUGCAAUACACGUGUCAUGUCCAUGAUUUCUAUGCCCUUGCUCAAACCAUGCUGAUAGAUAGGCAUUAGUCUGACGAAUGUGUGUCCGCUUUGAUUGUAAUGUCCCUUUGUGAAGCAGGCAGCUGUAGAGGUGGUACAAGGGGAUUGUAGAAAUAAAGUGUUUGUAGCAAAUGUC
rnacentral:misc_RNA from 1 species